UUUUUUUAAUUUUUUAUUCAUACAAACAUUACUAAGGUCGUUCAAAGUUGAAUUGCUGUUUAACGGAUGGCCCAUCUUUUCAACACACCACGCAAAUAUAUGCGGCACUUUGUUCAUAAUGCACUGUCCACUCAACCUUGAUGCUUUCUCAAGUUGAUGCGCAAGAGUCCAAACAGCCUCAGAUCACAUGCUCGGAUCAUGUUCGAGCCUCGGAUUGGACAGUGAAAGAAACACACACGUAUGGGGGGUGAUAAGGGCCAUAAUUAAGCCUCGUGAAGCUACUGAUACGUCUCACAGUCACCUAACGUAUUUUUAGCGCCAUGAAUUAACAUGGACUGUCAAUGGAGACAAGUUUCUUUCUAAGGCGUCUAGACGUGGCACGUGACGUGUUCACGUAGUGAAGUUUAUUAUGAACAAUCUUACAAUUAACUCCUUAACGUCUACAUGUGUUAUGCGUCACGUGUUAGUUUGUGUCUGUUUAGUUUAUUAUUAAAGAUCUCACCAUGAACACCAUACAAACGUCUACAUGUAAUCAAUUUCAUUUGUUGAAUUAGCUAAAAUAGGCCUAUCACCUCAAUACAAAAAUGAUUAAGCUAGUUGAUAUCUCAGCCAGCCACAAUUACUCUGUAGACAUGCUUAUUCUCACAUCAAUACAGACACAAGGGCUUCUUUGUUGGAGGUAUCCCUAUUCAGAAAUAAGAGGUCAUCUAGGUCUCUAGUGGCGCAUUCAAAACAACUUAGAAAGUCGGUAAUCCCUAUAUGUUACCAAUUGGGCUAAAUGUAUUCCUAUUAAUAAGCUUUUGUUUUCCUAUUCAUUUGCAUAGGCUAACCAUUGCAAAUGUUAUUUACCAUUUUUUUUAUUAAUAAACAGGUAUCAGGGUAAAAAAAUUAUAAUUUCAAUGCCCCUCUCCCCCCACGGUUACUUACCUUACAGAUAAAAGUCAGCUAAUUUUCACUCCAUAUGUAAAUACAUUUGAUUCAUACACUGGCUUGUCUGGCUGGCAUGUUUUCAUUUUGAACAGGCCUUUCCUUAUCUACACUGAAAUAAUAUUUCAGUAGUAGUCCUUUAUUAUGAUUUUUUAACACUCAUAGCUCAUUAGUACACCCUUGUGGUUGAAUAUAUAUCUAUUGCAUUUGAUACAACAAUUAAUAAUGUUUAACUAACAAAUACCAUCAAGGGAUACGUUACAAUUUACAAUACUGAACACCUUAUAAAACAGCUGUGAAAACCAAUCUGGCAAUAUUUUAGAUUUAAUACAUAAACGUUGAUAUUUUUGGGGGUACAAGUGUGUCAAUUUACUUUCUGAUUUUUUGUACACUCACAUGGCAAUCAGACUAAAAUACUGAAUUCUGUAGUGUAGAACAGAGAGGAGGCGGGUGCUGUGUGGAUGAGAGGUUCUGCCUGUCACUUGUUUUCAACAGGUAGUCUUGGAAGGUGGACCUGAAGAGGGAAACUGCAAAGUCCAGGCGCUGCUGCCCUCUUUGUUCUGAGUAUUUUCAGGGCUAGUGUUUUUAGCUAAUCUGUGCAGCUCACAUUAUGUACCCAGUAUGAUAGUUUUCUUGCUCUUUCUUAGCUUGUCAGAUGUUUUAUGUCAGUGGGGUUGAUAAGGGAGGUAAGGUAUGUUCCCUGGAAAAGAUGGAGAGAUGAAUGGUGAGAGAAACUCCAGGCUGGCGUUUUGACCACUGAAAUCAUGCACCUUAACACGACCUACCUGGAAGCGGCGGUUAUUUAACGUGACCCAGUGGGUUAGCCAUGAGAUUGACUAUUUGGAGAAACCCAUGGGCCAGUGUUGGUACUGCUGACAGCAUCACGAGGCGGCAAAUUAAAAUAGUUAUCAUCUGAGAUUUUUAUUCACCUUAACAGAUGGUGACCCCAGCUAGGAGCGAAAGAGCACCAAGCUUUCCCAGGUCUUGCCUUCCUUUCGUCCUUCUUCCAAGCCAAGUCAUUCGCCCGGAUGUCGAAGCACUUGGUCCACUUGAUUCUCCUCCGGUGAAUUGAUUCUCCUCCUUCUGUUUCUCCUGCGCCUUGUCCGUGUUCAGUCUCACCUUGAUUGAUAAUAUAAAUAACUGGUCAAAAACCUUCACAUCCUUCUCAGUCCGUGCCUGAAGGUGGUCCUUGAAGGCAUUCUGAUCUGGUUCGACAACUUCCACCACAUCAGGUGGAUUAUCAGUGAUCUCAAAGUACGUUCUCCGUAAACAGCUGCAGGGCCCAUUAGUACAGCAGGCGAUAGGGUGAGUACUCUAGAGGCCUGGACGCUGCUGUUGUAGGCAAAGAUCAUUAACUUCAGAUUGUCCUCCCACCAUUCCUGGUACCCGUCAAGGGACUUGCCCAUGGCAGUCACCUUGGUCCGAUCAUCCAAACUUGGAAUCACCAUACAUUUACACAUUCACAUUGUAUAUUUAGCCCAAACAACUACCUCUUCCCCUACUGUAUUUAUUUAUUCUGCUCCUUUGCAGCCCAUUAUUUCUAUUUCUACUUUGCACUUUCUUCCACUGCAAAUCUACCAUUCCAGUGUUUUACUUGCUAUAUUGUAUGUACUUCGCCACCAUGGCCUUUUUUUGCCUUUACCUCCCUUAUCUCACCUCAUUUGCUCACAUUGUAUAGAGUUAUUUUUCUACUGUAUUAUUGACUGUAUGUUUGUUUUACUCCAUGUGUAACUCUGUGUUGUUAUGUCGAACUGCUUUUCUUUAUCUUGGCCAGGUCGCAAUUGUAAAUGAGAACUUCUUCUCAACUUGCCUACCUGGUUAAAUAAAGGUGAAAUAAAUAAAAAUAAAGUAUAUAAC
rnacentral:lncRNA from 1 species